CUUGUACUCUCUCCGUCCCAUAUUAAGUGACUCAAAUUUUCCCAAAUACGAAUGUAUCUAUGCCUAAAAAGCGUCUAGAUACAUGUAAUAUUAAGUCACUUAUUAAGUCACUUAACAUGAGACGGAGGGAGUAUCUA
rfam:Brachypodium distachyon strain Bd21 chromosome 3, whole genome shotgun sequence.